rnacentral:rRNA from 1 species
AGUGAACGCUGGCGGUAGGCCUAACACAUGCAAGUCGAACGGCAGCACAGUAAGAGCUUGCUCUUACGGGUGGCGAGUGGCGGACGGGUGAGGAAUACAUCGGAAUCUACUUUUUCGUGGGGGAUAACGUAGGGAAACUUACGCUAAUACCGCAUACGACCUACGGGUGAAAGCAGGGGAUCUUCGGACCUUGCGCGAUUGAAUGAGCCGAUGUCGGAUUAGCUAGUUGGCGGGGUAAAGGCCCACCAAGGCGACGAUCCGUAGCUGGUCUGAGAGGAUGAUCAGCCACACUGGAACUGAGACACGGUCCAGACUCCUACGGGAGGCAGCAGCGGGGAAUAUUGGACAAUGGGCGCAAGCCUGAUCCAGCCAUACCGCGUGGGUGAAGAAGGACUUCGGGUUGUAAAGCCCUUUUGUUGGGAAAGAAAAGCAGCAGGUUAAUACCCCGCUGUUCUGACGGUACCCAAAGAAUAAGCACCGGCUAACUUCGUG